rnacentral:rRNA from 1 species
AAUCAACGCUGGCGGCGUGCCUCAGACAUGCAAGUCGAACGCGAAAGUCCCUUCGGGGAAUAAGUAGAGUGGCGCACGGGUGAGUAACACGUAGGUAAUCUACCUUCGGGUGGGGAAUAACCCAGGGAAACUUGGGCUAACACCGCAUGAUGCAGCGGCACCACAUGGUGACAGUUGUUAAAGCGGGGGAUUUUCGGACCUCGCGCCUGAAGAGGAGCCUGCGGCGGAUUAGCUAGNGGUGAGGUAACGGCUCACCAAGGUAACGAUCCGUAGCCGGCCUGAGAGGGCGGUCGGCCACACUGACACUGACAUACGGGUCAGACUCCUACGGGAGGCAGCAGUCGGGAAUUUGGGCAAUGGGCGAAAGCCUGACCCAGCAACGCCGCGUGAAGGAUGAAAUCCCUCGGG